GUGAACGCUGGCGGCGUGCUUAACACAUGCAAGUCGAACGGUAACAGGAGGAGCUUGCUCCUUGCUGACGAGUGGCGCACGUGUGAGUAAUGUAUAGGUGACGUGCCCUAGAGUCUGGGAUAGCCACUGGAAACGGUGAUUAAUACCGGAUACUCCUCUUCGGAGGGAAAGGUUUUUCGCUCUAGGAUCGGCCUAUAUUGUAUCAGCUAGUUGGUGAGGUAAGAGCUCACCAAGGCGAUGACACAUAGCGGGUUUGAGAGGAUGAUCCGCCACACUGGUACUGAGACACGGACCAGACUCCUACGGGAGGCAGCAGUGAGGAAUAUUGCACAAUGGGGGAAACCCUGAUGCAGCAACGCCGCGUGGAGGAUGACGCAUUUCGGUGUGUAAACUCCUUUUAACUAGGAAGAAAAUGACGGUACUAGUUGAAUAAGCGCCGGCUAACUCCGUGCCAGCAGCCGCGGUAAUACGGAGGGCGCAAGCGUUACUCGGAAUCACUGGGCGUAAAGGACGCGUAGGCGGGUUGAUAAGUCAGGUGUGAAAUCCUACAGCUUAACUGUAGAACUGCACUUGAAACUGUCAACCUAGAGUAUGGAAGGGGCAGAUGGAAUUAGUGGUGUAGGGGUAAAAUCCGUAGAUAUCACUAGGAAUACCGAAAGCGAAGGCGAUCUGCUGGGACAUAACUGACGCUGAGGCGUGAAAGCGUGGGGAGCAAACAGGAUUAGAUACCCUGGUAGUCCACGCCCUAAACGAUGAAUGCUAGUCGUCGGGGCUCUUGUAGUUUCGGUGAUGCACUUAACAGAUUAAGCAUUCCGCCUGGGGAGUACGGUCGCAAGAUUAAAACUCAAAGGAAUAGACGGGGACCCGCACAAGUGGUGGAGCAUGUGGUUUAAUUCGAAGAUACACGAAGAACCUUACCUGGCCUUGACAUUGAUAGAAUCCGCUAGAGAUAGUGGAGUGCUAGUUUACUAGAGCUUGAAAACAGGUGCUGCACGGCUGUCGUCAGCUCGUGCCGUGAGAUGUUGGGUUAAGUCCCG
rnacentral:rRNA from 1 species